AUUGAACGCUGGCUGCAGGCCUAACACAUGCAAGUCGAACGAGUGGCGGACGGGGGAGUAAUGUCUGGGAAACUGCCUGAUGGAGGGGGAUAACUACUGGAAACGGUAGCUAAUACCGCAUACCAUGGGAAGUGCCCAGAUGGGGUUAGCUAGGAGGGGGGGUAAGGGCUGACCUAGGCGACGAUCCCUAGCUGGGCUGUGAGGAUGACCAGCCACCCCGGAACUGAGACACGGUCCAGACCCCUACGGUAGGCAGCGGUGGAGAAUGUUGCACAAUUGGCGCAACGCUGACCCGGCCAUGCCGCGUGUAUGAAAAAGUGCUUCGGGUUGUAAAGUACUUUCAGCUGUGAGUCGGUACCCGCAGAAGAAGCACCGGCUAACUCCGUGCCAGCCGCCGCGGUAAUUC
rnacentral:rRNA from 1 species